CGAGCGGGUCGUUCGGUUUCUGUACUAUAUCGAGAGGCCUGGGCCGUUCUUGGGCAGCAGGAAGAACUGGGUGAAAGGUCCUGAUUGCUGAGGCCAUAAUAAUUCCAGAAUCUUUGGCUAUUUCCUGAGAAACUUCAUGCCUUACAGAUCUUAGCCAAGGCCGCUUCCUGGGCUUUAACAGAAUGUGGGAGGUGGAGGGGCCUUUGGAGUCCGUGUUCCGCACGGGCUUCUUCUCCUUGGAAGGUGCACUGAGGUCCCCACUCGGCACCUGAGGGAGCAAGCUGUCUGCCCACAGACUAGGGCACUCUCCACGGCACCGCGACAGGGUCUGGCGGAGGCUGAGCUCCGUUGGUCCCGACAGGGGCCUUCGGUGGCAGACCUGCAUUUCCCCGAUGAGCCUGGCUGGACACCCAUGUGUUCUUGACACCUUGGGCCAGACUGGAAUGAAAUCGUUUUUUUGGAUUUGGUAAACUUGCGUGUCGAGGUCACUGGUGAUUCUCCAUCGUGUCUUUCUGGGUGUGCAGGCUGCGGGAAUCCCGGAGUCACCCACAAUACCCAGUGCUGCUGGCCACACAUGGAAGCUUCAGAAACAGCGGGACCCGGGCAGCAGGUACAGGCCUGGGGCUGGCGCGGGGGCGGCUCGCAAUCCUCAGGACUGUGAUGCUGCAUUCAUUAGGGCUUUGCGGACAGCCAAGGUUUUCCUCCUUGUGGCAUGACAACAGUCCCUGGCCAAUCAAGACCAGAGAGUGUGAGGGAGUUGCCCGAAGACACACUUUAGCUGCGGAGCUGGGAGCAGAACUGCUUUGUUCUGAGUCUUACUAUUUUUUUUUUUUAAAGAUUUAUUUAUUUCACAGAGAGAGAGAGCACAAGAAGGGGGAGCGGCUGGCAGAGGGAGAAGCAGGCUUCCUGCGAAGCAGGGAGCCCGAUGCGGGGCUUGAUCCCAGGACCCUGGGAUCAUGACCUGAGCUGAAGGCAGUCGCUUAACCAACUGAGCCACCCAGGCGCCCCUGUUCUGAGUCUUAGUCCGAAGCUCCACCUUACGUGGGGUUCCUGGUGGGUACUGGGGUAUAGUACAUACUAAUGGACUAAUUGCUGGGAGCUAUCUCUGGGCCUCAGGUCCGGCCUCUGGAAACAGGGAUGCUAAGUCCGCUCUCAGCUUUCCAGUUGUUAACUCCAGAGCAGACCGCCUGCCACACUAGGGAAGUCAUCAAAGGGACAGAAAGAUCAUCAGGAUGGGUAACACAGCAGUUCUGCUUAAUGUAAAACUUUGCCCUCUUGGGGAGGGGGAAGAGAGAGGGAAUGGUUCCGGAGUCUCCGGAGGAAUGCUUCGGGAGGCAUCCUGGUUUCCCGCUGGUACAGCCUUCCCGGCAGGCCCUAUUAAUAUGCACCACAGUCUUGGUCCACUGGUUACCAGGGCAGCCUGAGGCAUGGGGCAGGCACGCGCUCUGGAAAUGCUGCAGGCAGGGCUGAUGAGGCUCGGGCUGGGGGGCUCCGCUCAGGCCGGCCGCAGCCCACAGGAGCCAGAGAGGCUUUCCUGGAGUCCAGGCCUCUCCAAGAACUCUUCAACCGUACUUCCAUAACCACGAUAACCGAAAAGGCAGCAGUGUAUUCUGGGUCAUCUGAAUGACUUCCUGAUGACCAAGGACUGCCGCCAUCUGAGUCCCAGGCUGUUUGCAUUGACCCUGGCAGACGGCACCAACCUUCCUUCUUAUGAGCCCAUAAGGGGUAGGCUCAGGAAGUGAGUAGAGGCUGUCCCAGCGCCCUGUGUGGGUGGUGGGGAAUUUCAACCACACCCCAAUGGACGUGGGCCAAUUUCAAAGGAACCAUUUAGAAGGCAGCCCACAGAAGGGUUCAUCCACUCACCCGUCCCACUGCGCAGGCCCUGCAGGGACGUCACUGGGAACACUGCCGUAGGGACCUUUGAGAACCCAGCGAGAACACCAGUAAAAACCGUCCCCCCUAAUUUGACUUCUUCAGGAUUCUGGACAUUAACUAAAGGCUUGCAACAACCAGGGGGUGUUUAUUUAAGAAAAGCGAAUGGUUUUCAGCACCAGUGAGCCUUGGGGCAUCAUCACUUGCCCUCUUGCCAGACCCUGACCCCAACUCCCAGGUGCCUUGCAAAUCAACAGCCGCAAUUGGGACAAACCAGCACUGUGGCAGCCCCGGAAGGGUCAAGAGGGGGUUGGAGCUCUUUCAAAGCCCCGCAUUCAGAAAACUCAUUUGUCACAUCCAGCAGUUCCCUGGAAAACCCCCACUGCCAAGUCUUGGUUUUAUUUGACCCGACCGCUGUUUCCCAUGGUGUCUGUUAAAAACAGUCGGCAGCCAUUUAUUUGACAUUGGGGCCAACAGCAAGCUAACAAAACAGCCUAAAAAAAAAAAAAAAGAAAAAGAAAGAAAGAAAAAUGUUGGAAAAGGAGGUGUCCAAGGGGCCUUUGAAAAGGCAGCAGGCUCCUGGGAGCCCAGAACACCACACGCGUGGCCUGCACCUGCUCAUGAGAAACCUCAACCAGAAGGGGCGGGGAAGGGCCGAAGGAGAAACACUCUGCACCCAGAACUCUACAUCCAACAAGGCCUUCUUGGAAAGAUGAAGAGCAACAAAACCUCCAGAGAAUUCAGGGCUGGCAGACCUGCUCGCAAGAAAUGCUGGAGGGAGUCUCAGGCUGGAACCAAGGAAACUGGAUGACUAUAGAGCACCGGGAAAGGUCGCUACACAGGAGACCCCGUGCUCGGGGGCGCUGGGGAGUCAGGGUGCCUGGGACAGAUGGAUCACUGCGUCCGCUCCAGGUGGAUCUAGUCGGCGAACACACGGUGUGCACAAGGACCCACAGUGAUGGAGCGCGGCAGGUGCCGUACCGGGUGACAAGAGCGUGAGGGCUCAGACUCGCGGAGAGGAGCCCACGUGGUGGCCCGGGGGGGUGGGAAGUCUGGGGAAGGGCGUUCUGGAGGGAGAAGAGCGUGUUGUCUGGGAACCACCAAGGCCAAAGGGACCGGAGCAUGGCCUCGGGGGCAGAUGAGGUUAAGCACCAGCUCGAUCGUGCUGGGCUUCAAGCUUUGGAAGUUUGGAUUUUGGCAUGAUUAUUACGAGAGAAUUUUGAGUGACAUGAAAUGGUUGGUCUUAAACAAGUUGACUUGGUCCACGACGUGAAGGGUUGGGAGUGCUACCUACCGCGGGAAGCCAGUAUGCACCGGGGUGGACUGCACGGGAGACGAGGAAGAGGGAGAGGAUGGCGCCCCACUUUCUAGCUUUAGUAUCUAGUGGGCAGCGGUGUGAUUUCCUGAAUCAGGGUCUAGGGGAGGCCCAGGCUUCUGAGGAAAUCAAGUAUUCAAUUUUGACAUAACACACCUGAGAGGUCGAGACAUCUAAGACAAGAAAAGCCCACAGAGGUCAGGGGGGCAGGUGUGAGCUUUGGGGCCUUCGGGAAAUGUGGUAGUAAACAUAGGGAAACCAGGGAAGAGGAUGCAGGGAGGACAAGGGCCCACCGAGGUCUGGCAGAGAAGGAAAGAGCAAAGGAGACUCAUGCCCACAGUGCGCCAGAGGAGACCCGGAGAACAUGGUUUCAUGGAAGCAGGGAGAAGGCUUGCGGAGUCACCAGCCGUGUGCGAUGCUGCUGAAAGGUCAAGAAAGCAACCAGGAGGACCCAUGGGUGUGCUGACAAGGGGGUGGUGAGCAGUUUGGGCAAGCGGGCCGCGCCGUCAGUGGCAUGGCUGAGACGUGGCGGUCUCGGUAUAAGCGGCUGGACAAUCUAGUUUGAGCAAAAUUCCAUCAUGUUAAUUUAAAUUUGUAAUGUGAUUUUAUAAUUUGUAUUAAUUGUGAGCUGCAGAAGAGUUUAUGUCAAUAAAGAUUUUAUUUAUUUAUCUGAGAGAGUGCAAGUGGGGGGAGAAACAGAGUGGGAAAGACUCUCAGAGUCCACGCUGAGCACAGAGCCCAACACAGGGCUUGAUCUCACGACCCCGACAUCAUGACCUGAGCCGAAACCAAGAGUUGGACACUUAACCGACUGAGCCGCCCAGGCACCCCUGCAAAAUAGUUUUGAAUACAUACCUGGUUUUAUAUUUGUACGUACUGUACUUCAAUGAAUCUAAGACCACAUUUAUGCACCACUAAGAAAAACAUUAUCUUGCCGAACAUGAUGCUUUUUCAUUGAUCCUAAGACUCAUUUUUGAUUUCAGAAAUGCUAAAACAUAAGAAAAAAAGGCCUAGAAGUGAGUGAUUGAACACAGUAUUAAGUAACAAAAAGUUUAAGUCAAAUCUGGCAGUUGCUAGCAUUUCUUCAGAAGCUCAGGUAUCACAUGAGCAGAGAGGACACACAAUGGUAUUGGUCCUUGACAUUAACCAAUUGCUGACACCUUUAAGAUGGUUUCCUCAUCUGUAAAUAGGGCGGCUGGGAAGCAAACCAGGACAUCAGCACAUCGCAGGUGACUACCAACCACCUCCCAUCGGCACCUCAAGGGAAUGAACUCCUCGUCACUGAAAUCUGGAGCUGCGGCACCACGUUUGGAACACAAAACACGCUCAGUCCAUCCAGCACGUCAGUCAGCUGCCUGCGGACGGGAUCAACGCACUGGGGAGCAGGCCCGGCCCGGCCCGUAGUAUCUCCAAGGCUCAAGGUUGGAUGCAGGCUCUGUUAAGGGUGCAGGUUUCCCUGCUGUGUUCAUGACACGCAGAACAGUCUCACUGCAUGGUAACUGACAUUUAAAGAAAAACUUGGAAAAAAAAGAACGUAACUAUCGGAGUGACUAGGUGAACAGCACCACAUAAAGGAAGCCCAGACCUCCUCCAGACAGGGCCCGGGUCCUCCAAGGAUCACUUGGUGAGAGCUGGCUUCCGGCACGAACAUGGUGUUCGAAGCUCCCAUUUACACAGAAAUUCUUUUCAGAUGAAAAAGGCUGCCCGGGUGAAGUGGAUCCAGAUUUAAAUGGGAGGACCCAUGUAGAACACAAGGCCUAAGAAGAAACCCUGUUAAUGAGAAUCAGUACUGUGCGGUCCAAGAAGAUUUUGAGUAUUUGAAAAACUGUAUUUUAUUAAUAGAGUCAGUGAUAACGUUUGCUUCGCGGUCGGGACUGGCUCUGUGCACCAUCACUGGGAAAGCGCCACUCAAGUGGGACUUAAGAGUCAACGUGGUGGCCACUGAGCAAAGGAAACCCUCCUUCCUCCUUCUCGCUGGUCCCUGCGGAGAGGGAGGGGUGCGGUCGGGGUCUGAAGGAGGUUCUCCCAAGCCCCCCCCCCAACACUUACUGGCAACAUUCCCUGCCCUUGAAACGACUCAGUGUUGUGGGAUCUGAAUCAGAUCCUGUCUGCGGUGGACAUCAAGCAAGGCCCAAAGAGAAACAGGAAGUGACUCUUAACUUCCCCUUGUCUUCAGGUGGCCUACGGGCAAGCAGCAGGGAGAGGAGGCUCUAGCUCUGCUCGGUGCCCCCACGGCACGAAGCCCCCCACUCAAGGUGGGGGCUCUGAGGGUGCAGGGGAGAACAGUCACUACUGGGGACUAACUCUCCUCACAGACCCUCCAAGGCCACUCAGCAGCUGGGGUCGAUCGAGAGCCAGCCCAGUUCUGGGCCUCUUCCCAACCGUCCCAUGGCCCUGCCAUCUGGUGGGCCUGCCAGGUGCCAGAGCCCCAGAGCCCCAGAGCCCCUGCGGUCAGCGGGCCGGCCCGCGGCCACCCCACCCCCACCCCCCGAGGCAGGGAAAGGUUCCCUCAGUGGGACCACGUUUUCUUCUUUAAAGGCCACACCAAGUAGCUCGAGGGGUUAAGGUUUGCAGCUAUUUUAUUUACAAGUAUACAUUUAACACAAUGAAAUAAACACUGAUAUAUCGAAGCCUAGUUAAUAGUAGUGUAACAAUAUGUAUCAUUUUGAUGAUUACAUUAUUUUAAACAACAAACUACACUGAAAAAUUAAUGCCGAUAAAAUUCUUGGGUCAUAAUAUUAUUAAGAAAUACAAUAUAUAAAUUGAAAAUAUGAUUGCUUAAAAUUUGAAAAUGGAAGUGAACUCAUUUGGACAGAGUCAGAGUUUAACAUAAUCUGAAAGGGGGGUGGGGCAGGAGAAAGCUCUGACCCAAAUGAAAUCUUUCAGGUUAACAGAAGGAAAAAGAAGCUGAGUUUAUCUUAAAGGGUAACGGGCAGUCUGCUUCUUCGGGCAGGAUCGACUCCCAGUGUCCGGUUCUGCAGCAGGGUUACAUCACCGAGCAGGACGACUUUCCUUGUGAAGCGGCCCCGUCAAUUUUUUCUGCCUCCAAAAUUAUCCUUCGAAAGACAUCAACGGCCGUCUGAAAAUCAAAGAGAAAACUAGCCCGCAUUAGUUUUAAAGUGGAACCCUGAUGAAUACUUCUACUGCUGGCAGGACUGAGAAGGCCCACCGCCCACCGUCGCCCCGGCGGGUGGAGGUCCCCAGACUCCCUUCCUGCCCCACACCUCACCCCUGCCACCUCCUGACUCGGGAGCUAACCUCGCAUCACGCUUCUGACCCGUUUUCACCGGCCGCAGCCCAAGAAGUCCCUCCCCGCUCUGGUUCCUCUAGAGUUUCAGGGUCCGGUACGAGCACCCGCUCACCUGUCAGCUCUCAUUCCCAUCUGAACGCUGCUUUCCCGGGAGGAGGGUUCCCUCUUCACAGCCCUGAGCCACGGGACCGACAGCAGGGCAGGCGCCCUUCCCGCACCCCACUAACCCCUCCAGACCUGUGCCCCCCGCUUCCCUGAAACGCUCAGCUUCAACUCGUACGCAGCUCUGCAAUGAUGUAAGCCAGCUUCGAGCCCAUACAAGCCCCGAGUCGUUUCCCCUCUCCCUUCUGGAGCGGCGGCACUGUCUCCAACACCGCUCUCAGCCCCGUGGCCUCCUCUCCUCCAAUGACCGGUCGUUCCCCACCGCCGCCGCUCAGCCGCCUGGGCAGCCCCACAGGCCCUUCAUGAGGAGUCACUGGUAUUCUGGGCAGGGAUUCCCCUCUUAGGCAGAACACCCGUCCCUGAUGAUAAUCAAAAAUUGCCCCUGUUCUCAAAAGCCUCAAGGGGCAGCACCUAGGUCUCGUCAAUACCAACAGCUACCCCUCCAUCGCCCAAUGUCAAGUACCCUCCAUCACCCAUCUUCUUUCUCGCUCUCAUUCCCUCCCUCCCUCAAUACCCCAAACUCCCCAGUUCUCAGCCCCACAGGGAAGGGUUUCCUUUGUCCGAGGACACUUCUCUGUCCCUUAACCACUUCGCAUCCUCACUGUCCUCCCUGGCCGGCACUGGGCCCACAGCGCACGCCUGCUGUCACCGUACUGCAGCUUCCUUCUCGGCCAGCCGUCGCCUGCUCGGCACCUGCAGCCGCACAGCCGGAGGGGCCCAGCUCACUUUACCGCUGGGACCUGGACUCCAGAGGGGACCCUCGGCACCACCCAACUGCACUCCCCUGGGCUAGUCACUCCCCGGAUGCAGCUUUCAUGCCUUCACUUUCUCCCGGGAUUUCUAAAGCCUCUCCCCCGGGAUUUCUAAAGCCUCUCCCCCAUUCUCACACUCAGCUGGUAACUGUGUUUUCCAGUUCGCAGCAUUCAUGAGAGAACUCUACAUACUCCGUCCACCAAACUGACCAACCCUUGAGUCUGGGCUCACCGGCUCCGGCUCCUUCCCUGCUGCCAUGGACAAGGCACCCCUAAUUUAGCUAAAGCUGGCCCCAGAUCCCACCCCUCUUGUCUAAUCAAGGUCACUGGCUUCAGUAAGGUUUCCUCCUUUCCCAUGAUUAGACAAAGUGUUUAUUUCACUGUACAAAAAUGCACAGAAAAAUAUUUGGAAAAACACGUGCCAAACUCUCACCAAGAAAACAGUGUGCCUGGAAUUUGGCUUUCCAGAUAAAUCUCAGAAUUCUCCUUGAUUAUCUGUGUGAUCUGACUCUGCCCAAGUAUGUUCUUUCAUCCCGUUGCGAAAAUACAGCUGCAGGCCUCCACAAGAAAUAAGCCAGAACUGCAAGCACGUCCCAUAGUUCAGUAAUAGAGUACAGGAUUCUCACUGACUUGAUCAUUUUUUCCAGCAAGCACUCUGUUAACAAAGUCCACUGAAUCUGUAUUACUUAGGUAAGUAAUACAAAUGACAAACAAGCUAUAUGAAAAAUCAUAGAUAAGAAGCUUGAGUAGUUCACACAGACUGGUCUCUAAUCACAUGAACUUGGUGUGUGGUGUGUGUGCAUGCAUGGUCUUUACCACACAGACAAAUUCUCUCCCUACUCCAUACCAAUGAUAGCAAGCAUUCUGGCCCAUGUGUGGGUUAGAAUCACUUACACCUCUAACGUAAGGGAAUAGAAUUACUUGGUUUCUCCCCUUUGGGUGGGGAGAGACUCGCCAGGCUUAGGGUCUCCUGAUUCCCCUCAGCACAUUCCAAGCCCACGUGGGCAGGAGUACGAGAGCGUGACAGAGAGCAGAGGCAUCUCUAGACACGCCUUUGAGAUAAAUGCUCAGGUCGUCAGUGUCCCAAGAACUGCAUGUCACUGCUGUAUUACCUGAUUUGGGCACAAGGAUCUUCUCGCCUUAAAGGAUUCAUUUCCCGUCUAAUGAGGAACCUGCUGAUCUGAGGGCAGCGCAACAGAACAGAUGACGAGUGCAUCACCUCAUCUUUGUGCUUCUCUGGCUUGAGCUGUGUGAGGCGGCCAUACGGGACCCUUGCCUCCCUUGACAUGUUUGGCAACUAUCAGAUCCAUUUGCUAAAUGUAUCAAAACUGAGAAGAAUCACAGUAGCUGGAAUCCUUUCUCUUUAGCUCUGAGCCUUCAGCAUGAUUCAUGUUUUAUCUGGGUCUUGCUACCUUCUAAAGGAAGUGCCAAGAUUGAAGAAUGACCCAACGGAGAGCCACGUCACAACUGGAAGCCACGUCACAAAAUACUUUGGCAUAAACCAGACGGCGGAGGCCUGCACCCUGAAACCCUGCAGUGGCGUAAUAACGUAGCUCUAGCAAACCAUCCCAGGUCAUCGCCAGAAAGCUACAUUAACCCCAGGCGGUGGGCCUUCCCGGGCAAAGCCCCCGAGUCAUGCUGGAGGAGGGCCCACAAGCUACUGACGCAUGCGGGGCUGCCCUCGCGCACACAACAGUGCCCCAAUCCUGCCGCCGCCUAUGGAAGGACCGUGUCCAGCGGAACGACUGCAUCAGGACCCGCAGACCUUCACCAGAGAGAAAGAGUGAAGUCAGCAAACAGAACCAAGACAGCCGGGGCCAUUCGACUGCACUUCUCCACCCCAAAAGCCGCUUUUUAAAUGAGGUCCCUUUGGAAGCAGAAUCCUGAUAGCAACCCAAAGGCUGAUACGAGAGUGGUGGAAGGAAGGACACAGGUGAAACAGGAGAGGCAGGGAGGGCGGGGCUCGGCUGACUGAGGGGACACAGGCCUGGGACUGACGGCUGCAGCAUGAAAGGAGUUCUACAAACUUGGUACCUGAUUUUCUUUAGCAGAAGAUUCCAAGAAAGCCGCAUUCCAAGACUCUGCUAA